GAUGUGUUGCAAUCCUUGAGGAAUCCAGCACAACCGAUACGAACGUCGUUCGCACGUAGCGUCGAACGCUUUGUUCCGAGGGGCAGAUAGAGGACAAGGCCUCGUGCCCACAACAUGUUCCGCAUCCGAGAUUUCGAGCAUUACGCCUUGGGUGGGCUACACGAGCGCAUGCAAAGUGCCAACCACGACGCAUGCUAUGAGUUCCAAUCCGCACCACGACACCGAUAGGCGACGCAGGGCAAAAUGACAAUUUAUCCAUCGUAAUGCCUCAAAGAUGGGUAUCGAGCACAGGAGGCCGCUCGGACGGG
rnacentral:misc_RNA from 1 species